ACUGGCAUUCCCUAGUAGCGGCGAGCGAAGCGGGAAGAGCUCAAAUUUAUAAUCUGGCACCUUCGGUGUCCGAGUUGUAAUCUCUAGAAAUGUUUUCCGCGUUGGACCGCACACAAGUCUGUUGGAAUACAGCGGCAUAGUGGUGAGACCCCCGUAUAUGGUGCGGACGCCCAGCGCUUUGUGAUACAUUUUCGAAGAGUCGAGUUGUUUGGGAAUGCAGCUCAAAUUGGGUGGUAAAUUCCAUCUAAAGCUAAAUAUUGGCGAGAGACCGAUAGCGAACAAGUACCGUGAGGGAAAGAUGAAAAGCACUUUGGAAAGAGAGUUAACAGUACGUGAAAUUGUUGGAAGGGAAACGCUUGAAGUCAGACUUGCUUGCCGAGCAAUCGGUUUGCAGGCCAGCAUCAGUUUUCCGGGAUGGAUAAUGGUAGAGAGAAGGUAGCAGUUUCGGCUGUGUUAUAGCUCUCUGCUGGAUACAUCUUGGGGGACUGAGGAACGCAGUGUGCCUUUGGCGGGGGUUUCGACCUCUUCACACUUAGGAUGCUGGUGGAAUGGCUUUAAACGACCCGUCUUGAAMCACGGGACAC
rnacentral:rRNA from 1 species